rfam:Ovis aries breed Texel chromosome 13, whole genome shotgun sequence.
GUUCCCAAAUUAAUACUACCCUGAAAGCCCCUGAUCUCACCUGAUCUUGGAAUCUAAGCAGAGUUGGGCCUGGUCAGUACUUGCAUGAGAGACCACGGGCAUACCAGGUGUUGGAGGUC